GAUAGUAAAGUGGCGUACGGGUGAGUAACACGUGGGUAAUCUACCUUUAAAUUGGGGAUAACAACGCGAAAGCGAUGCUAAUACCGGAUAAUAUCUCAGAANNNNNNNNNNNNNNNNNNNNNNNNNNNNNNNNNNNNNNNNNNNNNNNNNNNNNNUGAGCCCGCGUACCAUUAGCUAGUUGGUAGGGUAAAGGCCUACCAAGGCUACGAUGGUUAGCUGGUCUGAGAGGAUGAUCAGCCACACUGGAACUGACACACGGCCCAGACUCCUACGGGAGGCAGCAGUGAGGAAUUUUCCGCAAUGGGCGCAAGCCUGACGGAGCGACGCCGCGUGAGGGAUGAAGGCCUUCGGGUUGUAAACCUCUUUUAUUAAGGAAAAAGGUUGCUAUGCUAAUACCAUAGUAACUUGAUGGUACUUAUUGAAUAAGCCCCGGCUAACUACGUGCCAGCAGCCGCGGUAAUACGUAGGGGGCGAGCGUUGUCCGGAGUUACUGGGCGUAAAGAGCGUGUAGGCGGUUGAAAAAGUCAGGUGUGAAAUUUUCCGGCUCAACCGGGAAACUGCGCCUGAAACUUUUCGACUGGAGUUCGGGAGGGGCAACUGGAAUUCCUGGUGUAACGGUGAAAUGUGUAGAUAUCAGGAGGAACACCCGUGGCGAAGGCGGGUUGCUGGACCGAAACUGACGCUGAGACGCGAAAGCGUGGGUAGCAAACAGGAUUAGAUACCCUGGUAGUCCACGCUGUAAACGAUGAGUGCUAGGUGUAGGGGGUAUCGACUCCCUCUGUGCCGCAGCUAACGCAUUAAGCACUCCCGCCUGGGGAGUACGGCCGCAAGGUUAAAACUCAAAGGAAUUGACGGGGGCCCGCACAAGCGGUGGAGUAUGUGGUUUAAUUCGAUGAUACGCGAGAAACCUUACCUGGUCUUGACAUGUUGGGAACCCUUAAGAGAUUAGGGGGCCUGCUUGCAGGAGCCCAGACACAGGUGGUGCAUGGUUGUCGUCAGCUCGUGUCGUGAGAUGUUGGGUUAAGUCCCGCAACGAGCGCAACCCUUGUUACUAGUUACCAGCACGUAAUGGUGGGGACUCUAGUGAGACUGCCGGUGACAAACCGGAGGAAGGUGGGGAUGACGUCAAAUCAUCACGCCCCUUACGACCAGGGCCACACACGUACUACAAUGCCCGGUACAGCGAGUUGCGAAGCUGCGAAGCUGAGCUAAUCUCUUAAAACCGGGCCAAGUUCGGAUCGGAGGCUGCAAUUCGCCUCCGUGAAGCUGGAAUCGCUAGUAAACGCAGAUCAUCAUGCUGCGUUGAAUACGUUCUCGGGCCUU
rnacentral:rRNA from 1 species